rnacentral:rRNA from 1 species
UACGGAGGAUCCAAGCGUUAUCCGGAUUUAUUGGGUUUAAAGGGUGCGUAGGCGGAUUGAUAAGUUAGAGGUGAAAUGUCCGAGCUCAACUCGGGAACUGCCUCUAAUACUGUUGAUCUAGAGAGUAGAUGCGGUAGGCGGAAUGUAUGGUGUAGCGGUGAAAUGCUUAGAGAUCAUACAGAACACCGAUUGCGAAGGCAGCUUACUAAGCCAUAACUGACACUGAAGCACGAAAGCGUGGGGAUCAAACAGG